rnacentral:rRNA from 1 species
CCUACGGGUGGCAGCAGUGAGGAAUAUUGGUCAAUGGGCGAGAGCCUGAACCAGCCAAGUCGCGUGCGGGAGUACUGCCCUAUGGGUUGUAAACCUCUUUUGUCGGGGAGCAAAAGCCGGACGUGUCCGGCUGUGAGAGUACCCGAAGAAAAAGCAUCGGCUAACUCCGUUCCAGCCGCCGCGGUAAUACGGAGGAUGCGAGCGUUAUCCGGAUUUAUUGGGUUUAAAGGGUGCGCCGGCGGAUUUUUAAGUCAGCGGUAAAAGCGUGGGGUCAAACCCCGUGCAGCCGUUGAAACUGGGGAGCUAGAGUGUGCGGGAGGUAGGUGGAAUGCGUGGUGUAGCGGUGAAAUGCAUAGAUAUCACGCAGAACCCCGAUGGCGAAGGCAGCAUACCGGUGCACUACUGACGCUGAGGCGCGAAGGCGUGGGUAUCGAACAGGAUUAGAUACCCCAGUAGUC